CCUACGGGUGGCAGCAGUGAGGAAUAUUGGGCAAUGGAGGCAACUCUGACCCAGCAAUGCCGCGUGAAUGAUGACGGUCUUCGGAUUGUAAAGUUCUGUGAUUAGGGAUGAACACAAUGACGGUACCCCGAUAGCAAGCCACGGCUAACUACGUGCCAGCAGCCGCGGUAAUACGUAGGUGGCAAGCGUUAUCCGGAAUGACUGGGCGUAAAGGUUGCGUAGGUGGUUUGGUAAGUUGGCGGUGUAAUUCCGGGGCUCAACCUCGGCGCUACCGCCAAAACUAUUAGACUAGAGUGCGGGAGGGGUAAGUGGAAUGUGUAGUGUAGCGGUGGAAUGCGUAGAUAGUAGGCGGAACAUCAGGGGCGAAGGCGACUUACUGGACUGUAACUGACACUGAGGCACGAAAGCGUGGGGAGCAAACAGGAUUAGAUACCCGGGUAGUC
rnacentral:rRNA from 1 species